AAAUUGCAUUCCUUCUUCAAAAUUGUCCGUUUUUCUCUCUUAGGUCAUUUCAAUGGAGUCUGGACUCAUGCCUUCCCUGGUUCUGCAGAGAUGGAGAAGUCUGCCCUCUCUGAAAAUUCAGAGGAGGGGACAGAAGGAUAAUGAAGAGGAAAAGGAAUAGAAGGAGAAGGAGAAAAGGCCACAAGAUGGGGUAGAGGCUGUGAUCUGGCCUAUGUAUAACAGAUACACUGCUUAAGUAAUCUGGCAAAAGAGAUCCUACGAACUUUCCUUGCCGUGUUACUCUCUUAAUAUCUCCAGACCUAGACCCAUUCUUUUUGCUCAUAUGCUUCAAGAUAAUGGUGACAGCACGCAGCAACUCCACGAUGAAGAAACCCUGG